GGACGAACGCUGGCGGCGUGCCUAAUACAUGCAAGUCGAGCGGASUUAUUUGGGAGCUUGCUCCUAWAUAACUUAGCGGCGGACGGGUGAGUAACACGUAGGCAACCUGCCUGUAAGCCUGGGAUAACUAGCGGAAACGUUAGCUAAUACCGGAUACGCAAGYUUYCCGCAUGGGRRRCUUGGGAAAGACGGAGCAAUCUGUCACUUAUGGAUGGGCCUGCGGCGCAUUAGCUAGUUGGUGGGGUAACGGCUCACCAAGGCGACGAUGCGUAGCCGACCUGAGAGGGUGAACGGCCACACUGGGACUGAGACACGGCCCAGACUCCUACGGGAGGCAGCAGUAGGGAAUCUUCCGCAAUGGACGCAAGUCUGACGGAGCAACGCCGCGUGAGUGAAGAAGGUUUUCGGAUCGUAAAGCUCUGUUGCCAGGGAAGAACGACUURGAGAGUAACUGCUCUGAGAGUGACGGUACCUGAGAAGAAAGCCCCGGCUAACUAC
rnacentral:rRNA from 1 species